ensembl:lncRNA novel transcript, antisense to SORD
AUCAUCAAAACAAACAGCCAAUAUGUCUCUAGAAACAUUGCGUUCUAAACUGGAAGUGCUGACAAGCCUUCAUCCCAGACCCUGAGUGGCAGAUUUUCAUGAAAAUCAGCUUCUGGGCCAGUUAAGUCUUCAUGAAGUUAUCUUUUCAUAACUCAGCCCUCAUUCCCCUCUGGGUCAGUAGCAGUGGAACCAGGAAACCCAAGGGCCAGAUUUCCUUCCUCAAUGAAGGCACACCAAUUCCUCUGCUUAAGGACUUCUGUUCACAAUGAAUUGUAUUAGUUAUUCUUAACAUUCAAAAGAGAAAGUUCUGCAUCAGAGCCCACCCAUGUCCAGCCAUUGUGCCCUGAGAUCCCAAGACUGUGGGGAUGAGGGCAGAGCCCAUUAACAUCAGGGAUUCUGGUCACUGGGGUCACACUUGAGCAUGAU